rnacentral:rRNA from 1 species
GAACGCGAAGAACCUUACCAUCCCUUGACAUGGCAUGUUACCUCGGGAGACCGGGGAUCCUCUUCGGAGGCGUGCACACAGGUGCUGCAUGGCUGUCGUCAGCUCGUGUCGUGAGAUGUUGGGUUAAGUCCCGCAACGAGCGCAACCCACGUCCUUAGUUGCCAUCAUUCAGUUGGGCACUCUAGGGAGACUGCCGGUGAUAAGCCGCGAGGAAGGUGUGGAUGACGUCAAGUCCUCAUGGCCCUUACGGGAUGGGCUACACACGUGCUACGAUGGCGGUGACAGUGGGACGCGAAACCGCGAGGUCGAGCAAAUCCCCAAAAACCGUCUCAGUUCGGAUUGCACUCUGCAACUCGGGUGCAUGAAGGCGGAAUCGCUAGUAAUCGUGGAUCAGCACGCCACGGUGAAUACGUUCCCGGGUCUUGUACACACC